rnacentral:rRNA from 1 species
UAGGGAAUCUUCCACAAUGGGCGCAAGCCUGAUGGAGCAACACCGCGUGAGUGAAGAAGGGUUUCGGCUCGUAAAGCUCUGUUGUUAAAGAAGAACACGUAUGAGAGUAACUGUUCAUACGUUGACGGUAUUUAACCAGAAAGUCACGGCUAACUACGUGCCAAG